rfam:Myotis davidii contig139859, whole genome shotgun sequence.
GGUGGUUUUCGGGUAACACACCCCAGAAUCAGGCUCCCUCCUCUUUGGUUCCAGGUGUGUCACCCGAGAACCACA